UGCUUCAGUGAUCUGAGAGUGUUUAUAGUGCUGUGAGUUUAACACUUCAUGACUGACAGCAGAACAGAACACAAUCUUCAUCAUCACACAACACAAAACAACAACAAUGACCUUCAGCAUCAUCUUCAUCUGGACUUUUACAGUUUUUAUUCAAGGAUCCAGAGGAGUCACUGUGACUCAGCCUAAAGUUAAAACUGUUCAACGGGGACAAACAGCUACAAUAGAGUGUCAUACAGAUGUAGGAAUAGACUAUGACAAUGUUGGCUGGUAUCAGCAGAAACCUGGAGAAGCUCCUAAACUCCUCAUUUAUGACAUAAGAAGCCUUUAUUCAGGAACUCCAUCUAGAUUCAGUGGCAGUGGAUCAAACUAUGGAAGUGAUUUCACUCUGACCAUCAGUGGAGUCCAGACUGAAGAUACAGGAGAUUAUUACUGUCAGAGUUAUCACAGUGGUGGAGUGUUCACACAGUGAUAAAGAGUCGUACAAAAACCUCCGUCAGUCAGACUGCACAGUGACUGCACUGAUACAACUGACAGAUACUGCAGCUGCUCAUACAACACAAUCACACACAAUACUGAUCAGUGGACAAACAAAACUAAAACAUUUUGAUCUUAUGAAGAACAUAAAUCUUGAGGUCCUUCAGUAUAUUAAUAUAAUUAGUAUUAAUAUAAUUAGUAAUUGUUUUAAUGUGAUUUCAGGUGUUUUUUUUCCGUCAGACUGAACAACAGAGACUAGCUGCUGUAUUUAGUCUCUUCUGCUCUCUUUACAUGAACUGUUUCUUUAUGGUCAACGUUUUUCAUCCUUGACCUUACUGGUCAAACAGUCAUUGUCAGAAUAGCAUAAUCUAAGUUUUUGAUCUUGUGCUUUUAAUGAUUUCCCCUCUUUCAGAGAGAGAGAGAGAGAGAGAGAGAGUGAGUGAGAGAGAGAGAGAGAGAGAGAGAGAGAGAGAGAGAGAGAUUGUCUAA